rnacentral:rRNA from 1 species
UACGUAGGGGGCGAGCGUUGUCCGGAAUUAUUGGGCGUAAAGAGCUCGUAGGCGGCUUGGCAAGUCGGAUGUGAAACUCCAGGCUCAACCUGGAGCCGCCAUUCGAUACUGCUAUGGCUAGAGUCCGGUAGGGAGUGUGGAAUUCCCGGUGUAGCGGUGAAAUGCGCAGAUAUCGGGAGGAACACCGAUGGCGAAGGCAGCACUCUGGGCCGGCACUGACGCUGAGGAGC